ensembl:lncRNA
AUCACAAUGAUUGCUUUCCCCUUCCACCUGCAAACCUACCAGAGGCUCUUUCCAUCUCUUCAUUGUGAGAACCUGGUGGAGCUCCCGAGGGAAGACUCGGAGAGUGUGGGAACCCCCACAGCCACGUUCCCCAGCUGUUUCUCGUUCUCCUGUAGUCCAGACUCAGCCUCAGCAGCCCACGGACAUUCCCGUGAAGACUUCCUACCAGAGCACGGCUUCCCUGCCUUCUGCCCGGGGAGCAGAUCUUCACUGUGACUUUCUGGAUUUGCCUGUCUCUGCAGAUUGCAGAUGGAAAUGGUGUGUGCAUAACUACCGUUUGUGUAUAAACUCGCGCAUGAAUAUGUUGGAAGAAAUCAAAAUUCGAAGAUGAAGAGGAGAAAGUUGAAAACAUUUCCAUGAGAGACAUGAUGAGGAUCAUAUUACAGUUGCAAUAAUGGAAGUAGAGUGAACGACACAAGGCACUUCAAGUCACUCCAUGUCUGCAUCAAUCUGUCCAUAGAAGAUAGGUAAACAGAGCUGAUAAAAUGAACAAGCACAGUUUCAUGUCACCGAGCUCAUCGUGAGGUGGUUAUGCUUUGCCUACCAGGUGGCGUCAGUGAUGCCAACCGUGCACAGCCACAUGCUGAGAAAGGCUGAGAUUCCCCCGCUUCCUGAAAGCUAACAAGGGAGCCGCUCACAGUCUGAAGUAGUAGAAAUACAAGACUCACGGGUCAGAGACAAAGACUAAGCAAGAGCAGAAACAGAGUACUGGCAUUUGGACUGAUUGCUCCAGUCUCAGUUCCUACGAGGCAAUGAAAAGAGGACCAGCUGAGCUGCACGUCCACGGGAUGACAUCACAGGAGAAGAGUGAAAUGAGUUUAUCAAAAUCAAUUUUUUGAUGCCCAAAGGGAGUCACUGUCUCUGUCUUCAGAGGAUUUUCAUACUUGAAAAGAUAGUUGGGAAUAAAGGGAAACAGUUUCUCACUCAGAAAAUUUGAAGGGAAGAGACUCAUGGAGACUUGCCCCCAACUAUCGCUCCCUUGUUUCUAUCCCAACAUCGCGCCUUCUGAGGAACUUCCCUAUGAACUUACUGUCCUCGUAGACAGCGCUGUCCUCCACCUUUUCCCUCAGCGCACGCCAGUGAGCUCAACGGCCCUGGGCAUGUUGGCCACGACCUCUGAGAUAUCCGCCUCUGAGACAGACAUGCAGCUUGUGAAACACUUUCCUGCAACCACUUCCUGCAACAGAAGCAGGGGCGCAGCCCUCAGAGCAGCGUGCCAGCAGGGCCAGUGGUGGACCUGGCAUUCCUGGGGGAGGAGGCUGGGACUGGACCCCCGGAGGCCCUGCACCCCUGGAGGCCCAGCGGCCAUCUCGUUCCCUGUCCAAAUGGGACACUCAGUACCCUGUGCCUUCAGGCCAGGUGUGUCCCAGCUGGGCUACCGUCUCCCAAAAGAGUCUCAGGAACUCUCCGCAGUAGAACUCGUUUUGCUGCCUGAGCAUCCUCCGCUCUGUGAGAAAGUCCUGCUGGUUCAUCAUCAAAGGGCCACAAAUCUGACGUUUCACACCGCUGUAACCAACGUCUGCCUGCAACUGCCAUGCUCUCACCCCAGGGGCUUAGGGCAGCCACCUCCCUGCCUCUGCCUCUCCCAAAGUCUCCUCUCAGAAAGAAAAGAAUUAUUAUUUCCUAUGUUGCUCAUAAUAAUUAAUCUGAUCAACAAAGAAACUGGGACAAAAUCUGUUAAAUCUGUCUCAUGCAGCGUUAACUGCCCCUUCCACCAACGUGGCCACGGGCAGCAGGGGGAGACCCAGCUGCGCUGUUGACCUGUCAUGGCCCCAGGGUCAUGACCCAAUCACCUGAACAAAGCCUUAAACCCUCAGGGUUUCCUUAGAAAACCCAGUGUCUUCCUAUUUAAUUUCUGUCCUCAUCUUUCCACUUAGCCAGGGCCUUAAUCCAGAUACAGCAGGAUGUGUUCACGUUGGGGAAACACCACCUUGACGCACAAAGAGGUCUAGGCCAGUCCUGUCAUCAAAAACAACCCUGGGCAGAGUGUUGAGGCUGACCUGAAAGUCCUCCACAGCUGAAGUGGUGCCAUUGAUUGCAUCACCUAAAAUCAGGGAGAGUUUAUACCACACAUUCUAAUUGGGUAAUUCUCACAAUAGGGAUCACUUCCCAAAGGGCAUGUAAAUAGAACAAGUCAGCCUUUCUGGAUAGCAAGCUCCUCCUAGUAACCAAGGAUAGCUUCAGUCACCUGAGGGCCAGAGCCAGUAUUGCCUUCAAGUUAUCUGGUCUCUUAUGGUCUUGUAUGGCCAUCCCUAAGGCACCAGCCACCGUGUUCCAGGAGUGAGUCAAGUUAAUGCCUGGCUUCCACAGCCUGUCUGGUCGGUAUACUUUAGGGUUCUCAGUUCAGACCAAAUAAUUAAGUCCAGAAAAUGGAGUGGGCAGGAAAACAAAUAAAUAAAUAGAUACACAAAUCAAUUUCACUUUAG